rnacentral:rRNA from 1 species
UACGGGGGGGGCAAGCGUUGUUCGGAAUUACUGGGCGUAAAGGGCUCGUAGGUGGCCAACUAAGUCAGACGUGAAAUCCCCGGGCUUAACCCGGGAACUGCAUUCGAGACUGCAUAGCUAGAGUAUGGGAGAGGGAAGUGGAAUUUCAGGUGUAGCGGUGAAAUGCGUAGAUAUCUGAAGGAACAUCAGUGGCGAAAGCGACUUCCUGGACCAAUACUGACGCUCAUGUGCGAAAGCGUGGGGAGCAAACAGG